rnacentral:rRNA from 1 species
UACAGAGGUGGCAAGCGUUGUUCGGAAUUACUGGGCGUAAAGGGCGCGUAGGUGGCCUUCUUAGUCAGACGUGAAAUCCCCGGGCUUAACUCGGGAACUGCGUCUGAUACUGGAAGGCUGGAGUUCGGGAGAGGAAUGUGGAAUUCCAGGUGUAGCGGUGAAAUGCGUAGAUAUCUGGAGGAACACCGGUGGCGAAGGCGGCAUUCUGGACCGAAACUGACGCUGAGGCGCGAAAGCCAGGGGAGCAAGCGGG